rnacentral:miRNA from 1 species
AUGCUGACAUAUUUACGAGAGG